UGCAUACAAAGAUGAACAGUCAGCUAGAAUGCAGUGUAGCCUGUUAAACCUGUCUGGUGAUGACAACACUAAAGUUACUGACAGCUUCUGAUCAGUAAUGUAGCAGGUGGGUUAGAAUCUAAUCCUUUUAGUUUGUAGUGUCUGAUCAGUAAUGUAGCAGGUGGGUUAGAAUCUAAUCCUUUUAGUUUGUAGUGUCUGAUCAGUAAUGUAACAGGUGGGUUAGAAUCUGAUCCUCGAUCUGAUCCUAGUCCUGACUCGGUGAAGAACAGGUGGGUUAGAAUCUGAUCCUAGUCCUGACUCGGUGAAGAACAGGUGGGUUAGAAUCUGAUCCUAGUCCUGACUCGGUGAAGAACAGGUGUGUUACUGUCAUACAGCCUCCAUUUUGACUGAGACACAGAGGAGACUUGACAGACAGCAGACUGACACAACACACAACUACAAUCAGUACACAAGAACCUCAGCUCUCUUCCUCUGUCUGCUAUGGGGGGCUCCUCCUCUAAGAAGACUGUAUUUGGGGGGAGAAAGAAGCAACAGGACUCAGUGUUGACCUGGAGUGAACUGAAGGGGGCACUAUCCAGUA